AGAAAAUCAAAAUAAAAUCCAAAUUGUGAUAAAGUUAUCAACACAAGAAGGAUUAUUCUCCACGGGCUACCUGACCAGAUCCAUGAAAACUAAAACAAGAAGAAGACGCACCCUGCUCGGCUCAGAGCGACGCCAUCGGAUGCGACGAAAUAUACUCCACAGCCAGAGGGCACGAAUCAAUCUUAUCCGCCUCCUUGUCCGGAAUCUCUAGCUUGAACUCCUCCUCCAAGGCCAUCACGAUCUCCACCGUAUCCAAGCUGUCCAGCCCUAGAUCCUUCUGGAAAUGGACGUCCGGCGUCACCUUGGAGGGAUCGACCUUGGGGAAGCUCUUGACAACGUCGAGGACGCGGGCGAUGACUUCCUGCUUGUCGAGGUGGUCGUCGCCGUGGGAGGACAUGGAUCGGCGCGAGGUGAAUGGGGCGAGAAGUGAUAGGGGGGAAGAUUGGUAUGGGGUGGUGGUAGGGAGGCGGAGGCGGCGGAGGAUCGCCGGAGUGAGGGAGGCCGCCAUCGGUGUCGAUUUAGUUUCUUGGGAGUGAAAUCGG
rnacentral:misc_RNA from 1 species